UGGUGUGACUGCGUACCUUUUGUAUAAUGGGUCAACGACUUACAUUCAGUAGCGAGCUUAACCGAGUAGGGGAGGCGUAGGGAAACCGAGUCUUAAUAGGGCGACUAGUUGCUGGGUGUAGACCCGAAACCGAGUGAUCUAUCCAUGGCCAGGUUGAAGGUGCCGUAACAGGUACUGGAGGACCGAACCCACGCAUGUUGCAAAAUGCGGGGAUGAGCUGUGGAUAGGGGUGAAAGGCUAAACAAACUCGGAGAUAGCUGGUUCUCCCCGAAAACUAUUUAGGUAGUGCCUCGAGCAAGACACUGAUGGGGGUAAAGCACUGUUAUGGCUAGGGGG
rnacentral:rRNA from 1 species